GUGGGGAAUCUUGCGCAAUGGGCGAAAGCCUGACGCAGCCAUGUCGCGUGGAUGAUGAAGGUCUUAGGAUUGUAAAAUCCUUUCACCGGUGUAGAUAAUGACUGUAGCCGGAGAAGAAGCCCCGGCUAACUUCGUGCCAGCAGCCGCGGUAAUACGAAGGGGGCUAGCGUUGCUCUGAUUUACUGGGCGUAAAGGGCGCGUAGGCGGACAUUUAAGUCAGGGGUGAAAUCCCGGGUCUCAACCUCGGAACUGCCUUGGAUACUGGGUGUCUUAAGUAUGAGAGAGGUGUGUGGAACUCCGAGAGUAGAGGUGAAAUUCGUAGAUAUUCGUAAGCACACCAGUGGCGAAGGCGACACACUGGCUCAUUACUGACGCUGAGGCGCGAAAGCGUGGGGAGCAAACAGGAUUAGAAACCCUUGUAGUCC
rnacentral:rRNA from 1 species